UUUUUUUUUUUUUUUUUCUUUUUUUUUUUUUUUUUUUUUUUUUCAAUUCAAUUAUGUUACAUGCUCUUCAUCUA
rnacentral:ribozyme from 15 species